rnacentral:lncRNA from 1 species
CUACGGGAGCCAGACUCCGCCAACAACUUCAACCGCAAGUAGACUCCGCCCGGACUCCUACGGGAGCCGGGCUCCAUCCUCAACAUCAGCUGCCGGUAAGCCUUGUCCAGACUCCUACGAGAGCCGGACUUCGCCUUUAACUUUAAUUGCAGGAAGACUCCGCCCGGACUCCUACGAGAGCCGGGUUCCGUCCAUGACUCCAACGGCUACAGAUAGACUUCGUCCGGUCUCCUACGGGAGCCGGACUCCGCCAACAACUUCAACCGCAAGUAGACUCCGUCCGGACUCCUACGGGAGCCGGGCUCCGUCCUCAACAUCAGCUGCCGGUAAGCCUUGUCCGGACUCCUACGGGAGUCGGACUUCGCCUUUAACUUUAAUUGCAGGAAGACUCCGCCCGGACUCCUAC